rnacentral:rRNA from 1 species
AGUGAACGCUGGCGGUAGGCCUAACACAUGCAAGUCGAACGGCAGCACAGUAAGAGCUUGCUCUUACGGGUGGCGAGUGGCGGACGGGUGAGGAAUACAUCGGAAUCUACUUUUUCGUGGGGGAUAACGUAGGGAAACUUACGCUAAUACCGCAUACGACCUACGGCUGAAAGCAGGGGAUCUUCGGACCUUGCGCGAUUGAAUGAGCCGAUGUCGGAUUAGCUAGUUGGCGGGGUAAAGGCCCACCAAGGCGACGAUCCGUAGCUGGUCUGAGAGGAGGACCGGCCAAACUGGAGCUGAGACACGGUCCAGACUCCUACGGGAGGCAGCAGUGGGGAAUAUUGGACAAUGGGCGCAAGCUUGAUCCAGCCAUACCGCGUGGGUGAAGAAGGCCUUCGGGUUGUAAAGCCCUUUUGUUGGGAAAGAAAAGCAGCAGGUUAAUACCCCGCUGUUCUGACGGUACCCAAAGAAUAAGCACCGGCUAACUUCGG